rnacentral:rRNA from 1 species
ACGGGUGAGUAAUGUCUGGGAAACUGCCCGAUGGAGGGGGAUAACUACUGGAAACGGUAGCUAAUACCGCAUAACGUCUUCGGACCAAAGUGGGGGACCUUCGGGCCUCACACCAUCGGAUGUGCCCAGAUGGGAUUAGCUAGUAGGUGGGGUAACGGCUCACCUAGGCGACGAUCCCUAGCUGGUCUGAGAGGAUGACCAGCCACACUGGAACUGAGACACGGUCCAGACUCCUACGGGAGGCAGCAGUGGGGAAUAUUGCACAAUGGGCGCAAGCCUGAUGCAGCCAUGCCGCGUGUAUGAAGAAGGCCUUCGGGUUGUAAAGUACUUUCAGUGGGGAGGAAGGCGAAGAGGUUAAUAACCUUUUCGAUUGACGUUACCCGCAGAAGAAGCACCGGCUAACUCCGUGCCAGCAGCCGCGGUAAUACGGAGGGUGCAAGCGUUAAUCGGAAUUACUGGGCGUAAAGCGCACGCAGGCGGUCUGUCAAGUCGGAUGUGAAAUCCCCGGGCUCAACCUGGGAACUGCACUCGGAACUGGCAGGCUAGAGUCUUGUAGAGGGGGGUAGAAUUCCAGGUGUAGC